AAUUUAUCCACUUUUUUUAAAAGGAGCCUGCGAAGCUUGAUACUCUAAGAUUGUACCUAACAUUACCUUAAUUGGGGUGAGUGGAUGAAAAAAUUUGAGAUGACCACAUUUUUCACAAAUAAAGCCAGUCCAAAUAAUGGUAUGAAAGUGUAGGGAUUGAUCCUAAUCCUAAGGUGGUUUUAUAUGUUAACCGGCCCGGCAUACGUGAUACGGGAGGUGAAGCUUCGAUCCAUGGCACAUAUUAUAAUCAUAGUCAGCAGACAUGGGAUGGAUAAAAUUUUAAGAAAAGGUAGCUCAACAAAGACUUUACCAGCAACAGUCAAAGAGUUAGAAGUCAACGUUCCCCAUUCAAAUUAUGCUGCAGAUAGCUGACCUAGUGCCGUGAGGCGCGGUGUAAGGCCCAGAUCAGAACCAAUAUAAAUAUACCUUCACCACAUAGACACACUGUGUUCAUCCCAGCAAUUCUAUUUCUAUUUUCUAUUUCUUUCAAGCAAUGGCUGCAGGAAACUCCUUGAGGUCUGUUUUUGUGUCCUUCUUCGUAUUUGCAAUCAUCUUAUCUCCGUUAAUGGUAACAUGUGAUGCAGCUCGGUUCACUCAUAGAGUUACCAGACCCGUAUGUCCUGCUUGUGUCUGCUGCACGCCUGCACCAACUGGGUCUUGUUGCCGGUGCUGCGCCACUCCGGUCGAGACACAGUCUGAGAAUGGAUCUUCCUGACACCUAUCUACGCCUACGCACCACCCCUCUAAUCGAUGAGAAUAAUAUAUACCGUUUUAGUAUGCUGUAAUAUAGACUUCCUCAUGUUGGAUCCAAGAUGUACGUGAUUUUCUCUUCUUGUCAUAAUGUAGAAAUAUAUGAUUAUUUACAAUAUUACGAAAUUGGUUGUGCUGCUUAAA